UACGUAGGUGGCGAGCGUUGUCCGGAAUUAUUGGGCGUAAAGGGCGUGUAGGCGGGAUAUUAAGUCUUAAGUAUAAAUGCGGGGCUCAACUUCGUAUUGCUUAAGAAACUGAUAUUCUUGAGUUAAGGAGAGGAAAGCGGAAUUCCCAGUGUAGCGGUGAAAUGCGUAGAGAUUGGGAGGAACACCAGUGGCGAAGGCGGCGACCUGGGCCGAAUAC
rnacentral:rRNA from 1 species